rnacentral:misc_RNA from 1 species
GCAAGGUGCAUUGAAUGCUGCGUCUUCAAAAGAACGAGCACUAGUUUCUUCUGUGGACGAUCUUUAUGACUUCAUAUGCUCAGGCCCACUCAUCAGUAAGAUUGGUCUGACACCAGAAAAGGUGGCCGAGUCCAUUGACGAGUGGAUAGAGUAUGGAUUACGGCUUUGUAGAUUGUUUCAACUCAAUCAGUUGUCUCUCAACGAGGCCCAAAAAAUUCGAAUCUACCACUACUAUAUUCCAGUCUUCUUGUGGUGUGAACAAGAAAUUUCGCAGCAUAGUUCUAAGUUCAAAGAAGAAGAAGAAAUCCCUCCAUUGGUGAUUGGCUUCAGUGCGCCUCAAGGAUGUGGA